CAAAAAAAAAAAAGGGGGGGGAGGUGUGAAAGCGUGAACUAGCAAGGGAUGAUGAAGAAAAAGGAGGAUGAAUGGAAUGGGUUAGAUCGCUCACCUUUUGUCCCGUCUCUCACUCUUUUUUUAUGCGUUUAAUUCAUCCUCAGAUUUUUUUCUCCCCUCUUUCAUAGUAAUCCAUCAGGAAGUUUGAAGGACAGAGCGGGUGCUGAGAACACUUUUAUCUGCCUGCCUCGCACUCGCUUCUCAGUUUCGGACAGUAUGCGUCUCUCCCGGAGCGCUCAGUCCGGUCCAGCCUCGCAAUGCCAUUAGAGACGAGACUACAGCGGCGUGGAAAGUCAGCUAGCAAGCAGACAGUGUCAAGGCCAACUGAAGUCAGAUUAACAUCUACGCAUGCUGGAGAAGUCGAGCUACAAUCACAUUAUCUAGACGCCUGAUCCUUCAGGACGUGGAGCUGUAAAAACCGGCCCAGGUGAUUUACAAGCCCCGUCUCCACGUACAAGAACCUUCAAGAGCCACCCUCCCCCCAACACCCGGCUGUCCUGCUCAUGUCAUAAAACACCAGAGUCCCAUAAAAUGGCAACCUGUGAGUGUCUGGCACUUCGAACACCCCGUGGAGAGGGAGAGAUCGAGACGGAAAAAAAGGAGGAGAACCACGGGAGCUGUUAACCUGACUAAUGGCAAACUCCACUUGUGCAAAAGCCCAGCGGACUCCAUGACCACGUUUACUGCUGCUACUGAUGAGUAAACAGAGGUGAAAAAAACAGAAACUUGGCAUAAUCAGUUUCAAAAAUGAUGACAACAAUACAUACUCGUACAAGAAAUUGAAAUGCCAUAUAAGUGCUGAGUAGUUUGGACUUGAGUUCUACAGGAAAGCAACUAAUACAGUGUCCUAACCACCGGGCACAAAGCAAUAAAGCGACAAGCAACAUUUAAAUCCAUUUAAAUUUAAAAAAAUUUUUUUAAAAAACAUUUAAAUUUUUUGUCCUAACCAGUCGCAAGAGCAACAAUUCUGUUUCAUUUGUGUAUAUAUAAAUUAUAAAGUCCAUUUUGCUUGUAUAUAAAAAAUAAAUUUGGUGCUCAAGAAAAUGUCUUAUCAAUGUUCAAAACAGUUGUGCUGCUUAAUAUUUUUGAGGAAACUGAUACAUUUUUCAGCAUUCUUUGAUUAAUAGAAAGUUCAAAAGAACAGCAUUAAUUUGAAAUAGAAAUCUUUUGUAACAAUGUAAAAGUCUUUACUGUCACUUUUGAUCAAUUUAAUGCAUUCUUGCUGAAUAAAAAAAUCCUAAUGACCCCCAAACUACCAAAUGAAGUAAACUUUAAAUUGUUCUUAUUGUUAAAUCUGUUAUUAUAACAAUGUGUAAAAUAAUUAUGAAAUUAAGCUCAUGAACAUUUGAAAAAUUUCUAUUUGAAUGAUUUUAGGGUUGUCACAGUACCAAAAUUCCAGUAGUCGGUCCCAACACCAGUAAAAUUUCACAGUUCCCUGUACCAAUUUUUGUACCAUAGCAAAAACUGUU